rnacentral:tRNA from 1 species
AGCUCAGUUGGUAGAGCCCCGGAUUGUGAUUCCGGUUGUCGUGGGUUCACGUCCCAUC